GUCAGUGUGGCAUAGUGGUUUGAGUAUUAGACUACAACUCUGAAGACCAGGGUUUGAUUCCCCACUCAACCA
rnacentral:tRNA from 1 species